AGCAACUUGGGAAGCCGAGGAUGAAAUGAAAAAGAAGUAUCUCGAGUUGUUUGAGGUAUGUUGAGCUACGAGGACGAAACUCGUAUUCUUUAAGGAGGGGUAGAACACUAGUAAAAAAACUUAAAUGAGCAUCGCAAAAUGCGCACCGAUGUUUAAAAACCGGUACGAAAAAAAAAAGCGGGGUUGAGGGACAGGGGAAUUCGCACCGAUUCAAACCAAACCCAUGCGAAAUGAUGUUAUUAGCACCGGUUCGGUUCGAACCGGUGCGAAUGCUAUUGUAAAAAAAAAAAAAAAAAAAAUCGGCCUUUAAUCAUCUUCUUUCUUUCUCUUUCUGUCUUCUUUCUUUGUCUUUCCUCGAUCUCUCCUCCUCUCUCAUCUGCCUCUCUAUCAUCUACAAUAAUGGAGCCUCAAACUCCUUCUCUCUCCUUCGAUCUCCUUUUCCAUAACCACCACUUUCCCUUUCCUUUUCUCUCUCCUUCGAUCUCCUUCUCCAUAACUGCGUCGCAAGCAACGCCGCUCUCCUUCUCCUUCUCAGUCCGAAAUCGGCGUCACUAGAACCAAGCACAACCACCAUCACCGCCGCCGUCAAUAUGAACCAAAUACAAAAACAACAACUAACUUGAAUCAACUAUCGAUUCAAAAAUCACAAAUUCGAGAGUGUGAGAUGAUAGGAUUUCUCAGUCUCUCAGAUCACUCCUCCACCGGCAGCGGCGCUUCUCUCACUCCUUCACCAGCGGCACUCUCUCGCAUAGUCCUCCUUGCGCUCCUUCCCUCUGUUUUUCUUCAGCAAAUUAGCAAUACCGCACCAGACUAAGCUGUCAUAUCUCUAAGAUGGUGAAAAGUUUACUGAGCUCUCUAGAUUUGCCUCGCACAUAGUAUCCCCACUGAAGAGGACAAAGUAAGAAGUAUGAGGAAGGAUUGGACUUUGGAUUUUUCUAGUUGAAAGCCUUUUAAGAAGCUUAUGAAAGAGCAAUGAGCAUCAAUUGUAUUAACUAGAAUGCAAAGGAAGUAAUGAAGGGAAGCAAGAACAGACAACUAGGAGAUUCUUCUUAUGUAGUACAGGUUGUAAGAAGAAUUGUGAAAGAGCAAUCAGCAUCGAAUCAUAAUAACAUUGGUUUGACUUCUAAGUUUUGGAAUUGGUCUUCGAAGUCCCAAGUGUUUGAUCUUCGUGAGCAGUGCACUUUCAGCGUGCACCCGGAGUGCAGCACUGGUGGUUGUGGUGCAGCGACUUCUUGGUAGAUGAACAAGAAAGAGAAAGUACUUGUCUCUUCUCAGCUCUCACUCUCUCAGGUGUUGGAGAACAUUAGGAGAGUUUGUGACUUAAAAAGCUAAGUUGUAAGGUAAUGUCUGAUCCCUGUCUUAUUUUGCUGCAAGCAUUUCAAUUAGGUUUGUGUUGUACUCCGUAUUGUUUAUAUAAAUUAUAUGGUUAAAGCAACAAAUACGAAGGAAAUUUAUUGAAGACCUAAAAUUUCAAUUUUCGAUUCCGGAUAUAGAAAUUAAUUGAAGAAUAUGCUUUGAUAUUUCCCAAAAAAAAAUACUCUAAUAUAUUACUUAAAUUUCAUUUCUAAAAUGAGUAUCCAUAUUGAAACUUCAAGGCAAAAUUUGUGCUGACCUUCAGUGUUAAUGACAUUGUUACUUCUAGAGCAAAACUCUUGUUUUUCCAAGAUUAGACAUCUUCACAAGUCGUCUUGAUGUUGACCUUGCUGAGAGGGUGGGGAGGAUAGAUGACAGUGAGGUGAUGCGGAACUUCAAUAUGGGUAUUGGAAUGGUGCUUGUGGUAAGUCAAGAUGCAGCCCUCAAAAUACUUGGCGAUGCCAAUGGAGCAACUCCAAUGUAUCGCAUUGGUGAGGUAAAGACAAGUGAAGGGGUUAGCUAUCGAUAAGAGGCUUCUCAUCAAGUUUUUUUAUGCGAAAUGACCCUAAAGACUUGAGUCUUGCUAUCUCUUGAGCUCUCUCCAUCUUUUCCAUAUAACUUCUAUCAGCACAUAAUUUGCCAGAAUAUGGUCUGAUGCAGACUAGGAAAAUUUAUGUUGCAGUAUUUAUGCUGCAGUAUCAUGAUUCUGUAGUUUUUUCAGUUUUUUAAAUUGUAAUAUUACAAAUUAUUGAAGAAAAAAUAUGUGAUUUUAUGUAUAUUAUGAAUAUAUAUAAGUAUCUAGUACAUUUUAAGUGAAAAAUGCAAAAAAAAUAAAAAAAAAAAAAUUAUAUU